GUAGCAACCGGAUUAGAUACCCGGUAGUCCUAGCUGUAAACAUUGCCCAUUUGAUGUUGCUUUCCCGUUGAGGGAAGGCAGUGUCGGAGCGAAGGUGUUAAAUGGGCCGCUUGGGAAGUAUGGUCGCAAGACUGAAACUUAAAGGAAUUGGCGGGGGAGCACCGCAACGGGAGGAAUGUGCGGUUUAAUUGGAUUCAACGCCGGAAAACUCACCGGGAACGACCUGUGCAUGAGAGUCAACUUGACGAGCUUACUCGAUAGCAGGAGAGGUGGUGCAUGGCCGUCGUCAGCUCGUACCGUAGGGCGUUCACUUAAGUGUGAUAACGAGCGAGACCCACAUCUUUAAUUGCAAAUGUAUAUGGGAAUAUGCAUGCACUUUAGAGAAACCGCCAGCGCUAAGCUGGAGGAAGGAGUGGUCGACGGCAGGUCAGUACGCCCCGAAUUUCCCGGGCUACACGCGCAUUACAAAGAACGGGACAAUACGUUGCAACCUCGAAAGAGGGAGCUAAUCGCGAAACCCGUCCAUAGUUAGGAUUGAGGGCUGUAACUCGCCCUCAUGAAUCUGGAUUCCGUAGUAAUCGCGGGUCAACAACCCGCGGUGACAUGC
rnacentral:rRNA from 1 species